UGUUGUUUUUUUCUAGUUUCUUCUCUUGGCAAUUUUGCAAGUUUCUUCUUUUCUUAUGCUGUAAUGGUAGCAGUGCAAUGCUCCAAUCAUAAAAUUAAUUGAAAAAUGCUCUCUUUAGUUUUAUGGAAGAUUUUAUUUUAAAGAUUUACUUUAUUUUGUUGUAUCCAACCUGGAAUUUUUUACAUGUUAGAUAUCUGGCUGGACAUCAGAAAUUGCUUUUGAUGGCUUAGAGCCUCCUCCUUGAGACCUCAGCUCUCAAUUUGGUUGUUUCCGGCCAUCUAGUUCUCUUGGGUCACAGCCCACCAUCAAAGGACAUCAAGGCAGGAACCAGGAGGCAGGAGGAAGAAACUAUGGAGGAAGAUGCUUACUGGUUUUCUCUUCAUAAGCUUUCUCAGUAUGUUUUUA